GAUGAACGCUAGCUACAGGCUUAACACAUGCAAGUCGAGGGACCGGCGCACGGGUGAGUAACACGUAUCCAACCUGCCCUUUACUCGGGGAUAGCCUUUCGAAAGAAAGAUUAAUACCCGAUAUAAAGGAUGGGGAUGCGUUCCAUUAGGUUGUUGGUGAGGUAACGGCCCACCAAGCCUUCGAUGGAUAGGGGUUCUGAGAGGAAGGUCCCCCACAUUGGAACUGGGACACGGUCCCAACGCGUACGGGAGGCAGGAGUUAGGAAUAAUGGUGAAUGGGCGUUAGCCUGAACCAGCCAAGUAGCGUGAAAGAUGAAGGGUUAUGGGUCGUAAACUUCGUUUAGAUAAGAAUAUGUAUUAUAUGAAUAAGGAUCGGCUAACUCCGUGCCAGCAGCCGCGGUAUUC
rnacentral:rRNA from 1 species